GGUAACCAUAGCCAAGAGGUCACACCUGUUCCCAUGCCGAACACAGAAGUUAAGCUCUUGAACGCCGAUGGUAGUUGGGACUUUGUCCCUGUGAGAGUAGGACGUUGCCAGGC
rnacentral:rRNA from 1 species